GCUAGCAUGGUGUAGUGGUUUGAACAUUAGACUGGGAAUCUGGAGAGCAAGAUUCAAGUCUUGGCUCUACCA